CGGUAGAAAAUCUUCGGAUCUUUGAGAGCGGCGCACGGGUGCGGAACACGUGUGCAACCUACCUUUAUCUGGGGGAUAGCCUUUCGAAAGGAAGAUUAAUACCCCAUAACAUAUUUGAUGGCAUCAUUAGAUAUUGAAAACUCCGGUGGAUAGAGAUGGGCACGCGCAAGAUUAGAUAGUUGGUGAGGUAACGGCUCACCAAGUCAAUGAUCUUUAGGGGGGCCUGAGAGGGUGAUCCCCCACACUGGUACUGAGACACGGACCAGACUCC
rnacentral:rRNA from 1 species